UACAUAGGGGGCAAGCGUUGUUCGGAAUUACUGGGCGUAAAGGGCGCGUAGGCGGCCGCCUAAGUCAGACGUGAAAUCCCUCGGCUCAACCGGGGAACUGCGUCUGAUACUGGGUGGCUUGAAUCCGGGAGAGGGAUGCGGAAUUCCACGUGUAGCAGUGAAAUGCGUAGAGAUGUGGAGGAACACCGAUGGCGAAGGCAGCCCCCUGGGUCAAGAUUGACGCUCAUGCACGAAAGCGUGGGGAGCAAACAGG
rnacentral:rRNA from 1 species